rnacentral:rRNA from 1 species
CGUCUGACACAGGUGCUGCAUGGCUGUCGUCAGCUCGUGUCGUGAGAUGUUGGGUUAAGUCCGUAACGAGCGCAACCCUUGUCCUUAGUUACCAGCACGUUAUGGUGGGCACUCUAAGGAGACUGCCGGUGACAAACCGGAGGAAGGUGGGGAUGACGUCAAGUCAUCAUGGCCUUUACGGCCUGGGCUACACACGUGCUACAAUGGUCGGUACAAAGGGUUGCCAAGCCGCGAGGUGGAGCUAAUCCCAUAAAACCGAUCGUAGUCCGGAUCGCAGUCUGCAACUCGACUGCGUGAAGUCGGAAUCGCUAGUAAUCGUGAAUCAGGAUGUCACGGUGAAUACGUUCCCGGGCCUU